UACGUAGGGUGCGAGGGUUAAUCGGAAUUACUGGGCGUAAAGCGUGCGCAGGCGGUUUUGUAAGCCAGAUGUGAAAGCCCCGGGCUCAACCUGGGAAUGGCAUUUGGGACUGCAAGGCUUGAGUGCGGCAGAGGAGACUGGAAUUCCUGGUGUAGCAGUGAAAUGCGUAGAGAUGCGGAGGAACACCUGUGGCGAAGGCGGCCCUCUGGACGGAUACUGACGCUGAGACGCGAAAGCGUGGGGAGCAAACAGG
rnacentral:rRNA from 1 species